rnacentral:misc_RNA from 1 species
AAGUCGUAACAAGGUUUCUGUAGGUGAACCUGCAGAAGGAUCAUUAGUGAAGAUUCAAGGGCCAGCCAUACAGACGUACAAUAAGUGUGUCUCUGGCGGCUCGCAUCCACUAUACAUCCAUAAACCCGUGUGCACUGUUCUAAGGAGUAAGAAAGAAGAAGGGGAGGGGAGAGAGAGUGCAUGUGCUUUGCAUAUAACUCUCUCUCACUCUCCACUCUCUUUCUCUCUCCGGUUAAUUACAAACUCGUAUGGAUUUGUAUGAACGUGAGAUAUAUCGUUGGACCGUCACUGGCCAACAAAUAUAACACAACUUUCGACAACGGAUCUCUUGGUUCUCC